rnacentral:rRNA from 1 species
GUGCCAGCAGCCGCGGUAAUACGGAGGGUGCAAGCGUUACUCGGAAUCACUGGGCGUAAAGGGUGCGUAGGCUGGCUUUUAAGUCAGAUGUGAAAUCCUAUGGCUUAACCAUAGAACUGCAUUUGAAACUGAAAGCCUAGAGUUCAGAAGGGGCAGAUGGAAUUAGUGGUGUAGGGGUAAAAUCCGUAGAUAUCACUAGGAAUAUCAAAAGCGAAGGCGAUCUGCUGGGAUGAUACUGACGCUGAGGCACGAAAGCGUGGGGAGCAAACAGGAUUAGAAACCCGAGUAGUCC